rnacentral:rRNA from 1 species
AGUGAACGCUGGCGGUAGGCCUAACACAUGCAAGUCGAACGGCAGCACAGUAAGAGCUUGCUCUUACGGGUGGCGAGUGGCGGACGGGUGAGGAAUACAUCGGAAUCUACUUUUUCGUGGGGAUAACGUAGGGAAACUUACGCUAAUACCGCAUACGACCUACGGGUGAAAGCAGGGGAUCUUCGGACCUUGCGCGUUUGAAUGAGCCGAUGUCGGAUUAGCUAGUUGGCGGGGUAAAGGCCCACCAAGGCGACGAUCCGUAGCUGGUCUGAGAGGAUGAUCAGCCACACUGGAACUGAGACACGGUCCAGACUCCUACGGGAGGCAGCAGUGGGGAAUAUUGGACAAAGGGCGGAAGCCUGAUCCAGCCAUACCGCGUGGGUGAAGAAGGCCUUCGGGUUGUAAAGCCCUUUUGUUGGGAAAGAAAAGCAGCAGGUUAAUACCCCGCUGUUCUGACGGUACCCAAAGAAUAAGCACCGGCUAACUUCGUG